GACGAACGCUGGCGGCGUGCUUAACACAUGCAAGUCGAACGGUGAAGCGCCUUCCUUUUUGGUGGGUGUGGAUGAGUGGCGAACGGGUGAGUAACACGUGAGUAACCUGCCCCCUUCUUCUGGAUAACCGCAUGAAAGUGUGGCUAAUACGGGAUAUUCUGGGUCUGUCGCAUGAUGGGUCUGGGAAAGAUAUUGUUUCGGUGGGGGAUGGGCUCGCGGCCUAUCAGCUUGUUGGUGGGGUGAUGGCCUACCAAGGCGGUGACGGGUAGCCGGCCUGAGAGGGUGGUCGGUCACACUGGGACUGAGACACGGCGCAGACUCGUACGGGAGGCAGCAGUGGGGAAUAUUGCACAAUGGGCGCAAGCCUGAUGCAGCGACGCCGCGUGAGGGAUGGAGGCCUUCGGGUUGUGAACCUCUUUCGCCAGUGAAGCAGGCCUGCCUCGUUUGUGGGUGGGUUGACGGUAGCUGGAUAAGAAGCGCCGGCUAACUACGUG
rnacentral:rRNA from 1 species